GCCUCUGCUCAUUUGCAUGUCCCAGAUCACAGCCCUCUGCCCUGAAGAUUUAUGAAUCUGCUCACACGCUGUGCAGGAGUCAGUCCCAGUCAGGACACAGCAUGGACAUGAGGGUCCCCGCUCAGCUCCUGGGGCUGCUGCUGCUCUGGCUCCCAGGUGUGCGAUGUGACAUCCAGGUGACCCAGUCUCCAUCCUCACUGGCUGCCUCUGUAGGAGACACAGUCACCAUCAACUGCAGAGCCAGUCAGAACAUUUAUAAUGCUUUAAAUUGGUAUCAGCAGAAACCAGGGAAAGCUCCCAGGCUCCUGAUCUAUGGUGCAAGCAAUUUGGCCUCUGGGGUCCCAUCCAGGUUCAGCGGCAGCGGAUAUGGGACAGAUUUCACUCUCACCAUCAGCAGCCUGCAGCCUGAAGAUGUUGCAACUUAUUACUGUCAACAAACUUAUGAUACCCCUCCCACAGUGACACAAGCCAUAACAAAAACCUCUCAGGAAGCAGAAGCGUGUCCAGGAUGUGGGACGAUGGCAGCAGGGCUGAGGAGGCUGCAGGGCGAGGACUCGCAGAACCGGGUGCAGGACGGUGGUGCCGGCCCGAGCGCAGCCGCGCUGUGCAGUAGAAGAGAAGAGGGGGAGCAGAGACAGCCCAGGCACAGGCGCGUCGUGUACGCAUGUGACUCACAGCUUCUCCUUCCCUUGCUGAGCAGAAGGGAGGCUGAGUGA